rnacentral:rRNA from 1 species
UACGGAAGGGGCAAGCGUUGUUCGGAAUCAUUGGGCGUAAAGGGCGCGUAGGUGGUUCUGUAUGUCUACCGUGAAAGCGUACGGCUCAACUGUAUUUUGUCGGUGGAAACUGCAGGACUUGAGGCUGGGAGGGGCUGGUGGAAUUCCCUGUGUAGCGGUGAAAUGCGUAGAGAUGGGGGAGAACACCUGUGGCGAAGGCGGCUCUCUGGGACGGUACUGACGCUGAGACGCGAAAGCGUGGGGAGCAAACAGG